CACCGCGGUUAAACGAGAGGCCCUAGUUGAUAUUGUUACGGCGUAAGGGUGGUUAAGGAAAGCACAACAAUAAAGCCGAAUGGCCCUCUGGCCGUCAUACGCUUCCAGGUGUCCGAAGUCCAACUCACGAAAGUAGCUUUAAUACAGCCCACCUGACCCCACGAAAGCUGAGAAACAAACUGGGAUUAGAUACCCCACUAUGCUCAGCCAUAAACCUAGACAUCCAACUACAAUUAAACGUCCGCCCGGGUACUACGAGCAUCAGCUUGAAACCCAAAGGACCUGACGGUGCCUUAGACCCCCCUAGAGGAGCCUGUUCUAGAACCGAUAACCCCCGUUAAACCUCACCACUUCUAGCCACCCCAGCCUAUAUACCGCCGUCGUCAGCUUACCCUGUGAAGGCAACAAAAGUAAGCAAAAUGGGCACAACCCAGAACGUCAGGUCGAGGUGUAGCGUACGAAGCGGAAAGAAAUGGGCUACAUUUUCUAUAUAUAGAACACUACGAAUAAUGCAACAUGAAAUAGUGCUUGAAGGAGGAUUUAGUAGUAAAAAGGAAGCAGAGUGUCCUUUUGAACCCGGCUCUGAGGCGCGUACACACCGCCCGUCACUCUCCCCUGUCAAAACGCAACAAAGAUAUAUAACACUAAAGCACUGACAAGGGGAGGCAAGUCGUAACAUGGUAAGUGUACCGGAAGGUGCACUUGGAUUAAACUCAGGGCGUGGCUGAG
rnacentral:rRNA from 1 species